AGAGAGAGAGAGAGAGAGAGAGAGAGAGAGAGAGAGAGAGACAGGGAGAAACGGGAAGAGGUUUGAAGGGAUCUUCUUCCUCGUAGACACGUCCCAAUCAAGUAGCUGCAGAAAAGAGAAGGUACAAGAUCCUCUGGAUGCCCAAAGAAAUGUAGGGGACCCAUGAAGUUUCUCUCCUUCUUCUUCUUCUUCUUUUUUGAACCGAAAAAAAAGUUAUCUAUCCCUGUCUCUUUUUUUCUUUUUGUCCUUGCGCAAGAGAGAUGCUGAUGAUGUAGGAGGAAAAAAUUGUUAAUUGAUUGAUAAAUAAAAAAAAUUCAGAUGCUUAGGUUA